AAAGCUAGUAACCAUUACUAACAAAACAAGACUACACUCACUACUAAUCCUAGCCAGUCUAGUGAAACUUAACGUGGCCAAACAAACACGCCUAAAAGUGUUGACUCAGGUAAGUAAAUCAUUUCAAGCAAAAGAACUUUUGAAAUUUGUACCAGAUGGAAUACCCUACAAUAAAAACUUAAAAGCAAUUGUACUGACUAGCCAACAUACUAGUCAACUGAGUACAGAUUGUUAGAAUACCAUAAGCAUAUAAAUCAAACAAACUUAAAAGGUUAAAACUUAACAAUGUGAACUUAAAUUAAGUUUUAGUCUUAGUACUUGAGUUAAGUUCACUUAAUUAAUAAAGUGUCAAUACUAGCAAACCCUACAAUGUUUAGUUCCAACAAGGUUAUAAAUAAGGCUUUGUAAAGUAUGAACACAAGGAAGUUUUUGGCUGGAAAAACCUACAUUUGUGUUAAAAAACCAGGGACUCUCCACUGAGUCCAAUCCACUAGUGUAAACAAAGGUUCAUACAACGAUCCAUACAAAGCUAAAUUCCUAUAACCCUAUCUACAAAGUAGCUUUACCUUUGUGCAACAUUGCUUUACACAAGACAUAUUCCUUCGGUCUUCACGAAGUGGCAGCUUCUCCUGAGCUCAUCACCUUGUGGCACCGAGAUAAACACAAUUAAUGAUGUGAUAUGAUUUUAUGAUAUGACCAUGAGAUUUGGAUUCAACUGACUAGUCAGGUUCUCCAGUCAAACAAUUGAAGAAGAACCUAACACGAAUCCGAAAGAUUGGUCUAUGAAGGAUAUGAGAACUUAGGUUCAGACCAAAAGCUUAAUGCAAAACCAUUAAAACAAUACAACCCUAAUAUGCAAUGGUUGGGUGUUUGUGCAUGAGAUGGUUUUGUGGCUUGGGUUUUGGUUUAGAAGCUUAAGAGGUAGCUCUAGGCUAAAUGCACUCUUUUUCUGAAAAUCUAAAAAACCUAACCAAGAAACAAAUGAGACCUUGAAAACCCUUAUAAUGGAAGAAAUGGUUGUUUCAGACAAGGGGAACAAAGAGACACGUGUCACGAGCCAAAGAGACCUUCCCAGAUCAAGGGUGAGAGAUCCAUGCAUAGGAAAAUGUGUCAGAUGGCCCAUGUGAGCUGUCUUAUUUUGCAUGCCUAGACGGCUAGAAAACAGACGAAACUUCUGACUAGACAACUACACUAGACAAAAGGAAUUCUGGAAAAAAUAAGCCUAACAUGCAUAUGCAAAUGUAUGAUUCAAACCUUUUAUAGUGAAGAUGGCUGGUGCUUUAACAGGUUCAAUCCCCAGUAGUAAUUCCAGAUUAACAUUGCACCCUAAUUCUAAACUAUGAGCAUGUGUGGUACCAAAUACAAGAUUUGACAAGGGGAGCUAAACAAUAAAACUAGUAUUUAACAAUCUCCCCCUUUGGCUUUUCUUAACAAAAUAAUCCCAAACCUAUAACUAAUUCACACAUCACCCGUACUCAAGAAACCAAGCUAAGACAAGAGAGGAGCAAGUAACAGCUCCUGCAACAACACAAAUUUCUCGACAAGAAACAAGUGAGGUUUGUUAUGGGUUAUGAGAUUAAAACAACAUAGUAAGCUCAAGUGAUACCAACAUGUGUAUAUUCCAAAACACAAUUUAAAAGAUGCAUGUUUACAAUUUUUAAAUUGGUUGAUAUUUUUCUCCCCCAUUUUGUCAUGGUAAGAUAAAGGAAGAAAGUGAUAAACAGAUAAGCACAAAAACUUGUAAGGAAUAACAAUUAAGAGACUAUGCAAAUUUGGAACACCAAAUGAACUUAAAAAUAGGUACGAUUAUCAGUACUAAAUAAGUCAGAUAUUUAGCAAAUUAAGCUCAAAAGUUCUAAGUAGCAUGAAGGAACAACAACAAAAACAAAUGUAGCAAGGUAUUUGCAUAUUAAACCCCUUAUAGGUGCUCCCCUAUAAACCUAGAACUCCUCUGAUUGUGAUGAGUCAUCUGAGCAGAUAGAAGAUCCAGCAACAAUGACAUCUUUAACAGGAACAUCUCCAAGGCAUGGAUCAUGACUAAGACGUUUUUCAUCUUCAUCUUUAUAAGAGGAAUAUGUGAACCUAAUGUACUUGCCCUUCAAAGUAGGAGUGGAAGAGAAAUGCUAGUGAACAUUGAUGGACACUCCCUUUCCUUUAGUAGAGUAGAUAAUAACCAUCUUGGCAGCAACGGUACUAGAAUGGCUAGAAGAAGCAGCGGUGUGAUUGGAUACAAAUGAUAGAUCCAUAUGGCGAUGAAGGACAAGCUUUGGACGUCGCAAAGAAGGCUUAGGGACAAAUGAAGAAGGAUUCAAAGAGGUUUUACCUAGAGAUGGUAAGGAGAAUGAGUUAUUGACAAGUGGUGAAGAUGUUAAUUGAUCAACUAGAGACUUAAAAUCAACAAAUUGCUUUCUAAGAGAGUUGAUUUUAGACUCAAGAUAUGUUAUUUUCCUGUCAUGGGAGACAGUUGAUGGCGGGACUGGUUAAGCUACGGCACAUAUGACAUUACUGAGAUUCAUCAUAUUU
rnacentral:lncRNA from 1 species